AAAAAAAAACUUGUCACGACUGCAAUGGGCCGAAACCUGAAACGCAACAGCGUUCUGGCCUAGACCCACCCACAGCGAGCAGCCCCCCGCGCACAAGAGCUUCCCAACCCAAUAACCCUAGUUCGGCGACGACUUGGCGCGCGGCGGCGGUUGGUUCGGAGCCGGCGAGGGCCACACGGGGCACGUGAAGGGAGCGCUUCCGCCGGCCUCCGCCGUGGUUGCUCGCGGCGUCGGCGAGGACGACCUCCUCGAGGGUUUUCGCAGCCCAAGGUGCGCCGAUUACCACCCCCCCCCCCCCCCCCCCCCCC
rnacentral:lncRNA from 1 species